GGUUAACGCUGGCGGCGUGCCUAACACAUGCAAGUCGAACGGUUCUAAGCGCGAGCUUAGGAUAGUGGCGAACGGGUGAGUAAAAGGUAGGAAUCUACCCCUUGGACGGAGAUAGCUACUGGAAACGGUAGGUAAACUUCGAUAAGCCCGAGAGGGGAAAGUGGUGAGACAGCCGAGGGAUGAGCCUACUCUCCAUCAGGUAGUUGGUGAGAUAAAAGCUUACCAAGCCGAUGACGGAUAACCGGUGUGAGAGCAUGAACGGUCACAAGGGCACUGAGAGACGGGCCCUACUCCUACGGGAGGCAGCAGUGGGGAAUCUUGGACAAUGGGCGAAAGCCUGAUCCAGCGACGCCGCGUGGAGGAAGAAGUCCUUCGGGAUGUAAACUUCUGAACUAGCCGAAUAAAAGGACCUGUGGACACACAGGAGAAGAAAGUAAGGCUAGGAAAGUACCCGGCUAACUACGUGCCAGCAGCCGCGGUAAGGAGUAGUACA
rnacentral:rRNA from 1 species